UACGGGGGGGGCAAGCGUUGUUCGGAAUUACUGGGCGUAAAGGGCGCGUAGGCGGCGGGUCAAGUCGAGUGUGAAAGCCCCGGGCUCAACCUGGGAAUUGCGCUCGAGACUGGUCUGCUUGAGUUCGGGAGAGGAGAGUGGAAUUCCCAGUGUAGAGGUGAAAUUCGUAGAUAUUGGGAAGAACACCGGUGGCGAAGGCGGCUCUCUGGACCGAGACUGACGCUGAGGCGCGAAAGCGUGGGGAGCAAACAGGG
rnacentral:rRNA from 1 species